rnacentral:tRNA from 1 species
UGCCCGUAUGGCGCAGUGGUUAACGCACUCCACUUGUAUUGUGGACUCUGGUACAUGGAGAGAUCCCUCGUUCGACUCGGGGUGCGGGCAU